UCCUACGGGAGGCAGCAGUGGGGAAUAUUGCACAAUGGGGGAAACCCUGAUGCAGCCAUGCCGCGUGUGUGAAGAAGGCCUUCGGGUUGUAAAGCACUUUCAGUUGUGAGGAAAAGUUAGUAGUUAAUACCUGCUAGCCGUGACGUUAACAACAGAAGAAGCACCGGCUAACUCCGUGCCAGCAGCCGCGGUAAUACGGAGGGUGCGAGCGUUAAUCGGAAUUACUGGGCGUAAAGCGCACGCAGGCGGUUUGUUAAGCUAGAUGUGAAAGCCCCGGGCUCAACCUGGGAUGGUCAUUUAGAACUGGCAGACUAGAGUCUUGGAGAGGGGAGUGGAAUUUCAGGUGUAGCGGUGAAAUGCGUAGAUAUUAGGAGGAACAUCAGUGGCGAAGGCGACUCCCUGGCCAAAGACUGACGCUCAUGUGCGAAAGUGUGGGUAGCGAACAGGAUUAGAUACCCUGGUAGUCCACACCGUAAACGCUGUCUACUAGCUGUGUGUGUCUUUAAGACGUGCGUAGCGAAGCUAACGCGCUAAGUAG
rnacentral:rRNA from 1 species